UCUGGUAAUGAUGGCAGAGAGGUCACACCCGUUCCCAUACCGAACACGGAAGUUAAGCUCUCUAGCGCCGAUGGUAGUUGGGACCUUGUCCCUGUGAGCUCAGCUGGGAGAGCACCUGCCUUACAAGCA
rnacentral:rRNA from 1 species